UCACUAUGUAGACUUUGCUAGCCUGGAAUC
rnacentral:piRNA from 1 species